rnacentral:lncRNA from 1 species
UUAAAGAUUACGGGCUCCAAUUUUACUUCUAACUUUAAAAAAAAAAUCACUUUCAUAUCCUGCAUUUCACCACCGCAACACCACCCCUAAUUAGAAUAACACAUAAGAAAUCUCUGCAUAGCAAUACAAUACGAUACACAAGAGGAGCGAAAUGCUACAUGCUCCAUCUCCAUAAAUCCAGUGUGAAGAAGAAAAUUAAGAUAAUAAUCCACUGCCUACAAGGUCAGAUCCUGAGGGAAGAUCCCAAGAUGAAAGCAGCGACAACCGUAAAGAUAGCGGCGACAACAGAGGUGGCUGGGAGCCGACACAUCAGUGGCGUGAGCAGCGCCGAUGAUGGCGACUAACACUACCAUUGUGGCCAUGACUGCGAGCUUAGUGGAAACCAUUGACAGUCUUUCUUUUUUAGAGUUUAAAUUUAGACCAUUGAUUAUGAGAAGAGAUUAAAAAUAUUAUUGCAGCGAAGCUAAGUUUGAAGGGAAAGAACCGUAUUCAGUGCUUGAAAGUGAGGCUAAUUCAAUUUAAUUAAGCUAUUUAUUGAAAUUGAGGCUAAGUCUCUUUUCUAAACUCAAUAGUAGAGCGUGAUAAUACUCCACCAACCACC